rnacentral:rRNA from 1 species
AUUGAACGCUGGCGGCAGGCUUAACACAUGCAAGUCGAGCGGAGAUGAGGUGCUUGCACCUUAUCUUAGCGGCGGACGGGUGAGUAAUGCUUAGGAAUCUGCCUAUUAGUGGGGGACAACAUUCCGAAAGGAAUGCUAAUACCGCAUACGUCCUACGGGAGAAAGCAGGGGAUCUUCGGACCUUGCGCUAAUAGAUGAGCCUAAGUCGGAUUAGCUAGUUGGUGGGGUAAAGGCCUACCAAGGCGACGAUCUGUAGCGGGUCUGAGAGGAUGAUCCGCCACACUGGGACUGAGAGACGUCCCAGACUCCUACGGGAGGCAGCAGUGGGGAAUAUUGGACAAUGUGGGGAACCCUGAUCCAGCCAUGCCGCGUGUGGGAAGAAGGCCUUAUGGUUGUAAAGCACUUUAAGCGAGGAGGAGGCUACUGAGACUAAUACUCUUGGAUAGUGGACGUUACUCGCAGAAUAAGCACCGGCUAACUCUGUGCCAGCCGCCGCCGUAACAC